GGCAAGCAUGACGGGUGUUCGAGGAUUGCCUUCAGCGGGCAUGAACCGUUCUGAGAAAUCACCGUUAGAACUUGAUCUGGUUAAUACCAGCGAAAGGACAUGCUUCCAUUCAUAU
rnacentral:ncRNA from 2 species